rfam:Felis catus isolate Cinnamon breed Abyssinian chromosome A2, whole genome shotgun sequence.
GCCUGGGUGGCUCAGUCGCUUAAGCAUCUGACUUCAGCUCAGGUCAUGAUCUUACGGUUCAUGGGUUCGAGUCCCACAUCAGGCU